rnacentral:lncRNA from 1 species
CUCAGGUGAAUUUCGACAUGCAUUCUUAGGGCGCUUAAUGUGGUUUAAGGUCUGAUAUAAUUAGUUAAUUAAAAGGUUUAAUUAAUUAGUUAAAAGGUUUAAUUAAUUAGUUAAAAAAAGAGAGAGUCCUAAUAGGAUUACAGCUUAUUUUAAAGAAGUUUAUUUUGAAUUAAAUGCCAAUAUCUAAUUGGAUUUGAAUUUAAAUUAAAUCAAAACUUUCUCUCCCGAUUUCCCACUCUCUUGACUGAAUUAGAGUUUCUAAAAUAAGGGAAAGUAAAACCCUAAUAGGACUAAAUUAGAGUUUAUAAAAUAAGGAAAAGUAAAACCCUAAUAGGACUAAAUUAGAGUUUAUAAAAUAAGGGAAAGUAAAACCCUAAUAGGACUUUGAAGAUGUGGCUAUAUAUAGGUGAGAAAAAAGAGAAAGAAAGACACUUCUUCCACCUCCUCUUUUGGCUGAAUCUCUUAGAGAAAAGAAUAGAUUUUUUUCCUACUUGCUCUUAAGAUUUUGGCACUAAACAGGUCAGGAAUUGAUAGAGAUCAGAUUUUCAACCCUCUAUCUAAGUCGAAUUCACAAAACCAAAAGGAAGUGACAAACAUUUAAGGUACUAGCACACUUCCUUUUGCCAAGAAUUCUAGUUUGUGAAAUUGUAGAGGGAAGUCAUUAUUGGGCAGUUACUAGCACACUUCCUUUUGCCAAGAAUUCUAGUUUGUGAAAUUGUAGAGGGAAGUCAUUAUUGGGCAGUCCCUUGGUCACGUUUUGCUGCUGGAGAGGAGAUAAAAAAUGAUUUUGAUUUGUUUCGCUUUGGUCUAGUCUUGCAAACGAUUCAGCAAAGGUAACUUUUGCAACUUUAAUUCUAUUGUUGCAUGCAUCGAUACUUGUUUGUUUUUAUGGCUUAAAUUUAUUUUGUUUUCUGUUGCGCCCAUCUGAUCUUAAGCUCAUAAGAUUCCCAACAGGUGCAUCCAAUGCAAAACUUAUGCAACACCCAACAAACUUCAUUUGGUAACAACGGGGAUAUUCAAUGGGCAAAAACUUUGCAAACUCAGGCUUUUUUCCUUUCAUUUACUUGUGUCUUGCUGCUAAGCAGAUGCUACUAAGAAAGUAACCAAAAAUGACAAUGGAACAGUUCCAGGAAUAAACUUUUCUUCAUGAUAACAGAAAGCAUACUAGAGAAGAUAAAAAUGGUAAAACAGAGGGAUGGAUGAACAACAUCAACAGAUUCUCUACUGUAGUAAUUGUUUAGUUGCUUCAAUAUUAUGUAAUGCCAGAUCAAUUUUCACACAAGAAAAUCUAUAUUUUCCAGAUAUAUCUAUUGGUUGCUCUUCUUGUUGAAGACCCUAGUUUAAGUGUGGA